rnacentral:rRNA from 1 species
GAUGAACGCUGGCGGCGUGCCUAAUACAUGCAAGUCGAGCGAACGGACGAGAAGCUUGCUUCUCUGAUGUUGGCGGCGGACGGGUGAGUAACACGUGGAUAACCUACCUAUAAGACUGGGAUAACUUCGGGAAACCGGAGCUAAUACCGGAUAAUAUUUUGAACCGCAUGGUUCAAAAGUGAAAGACGGUCUUGCUGUCACUUAUAGAUGGAUCCGCGCUGCAUUAGCUAGUUGGUAAGGUAACGGCUUACCAAGGCAACGAUGCAUAGCCGACCUGAGAGGGUGAUCGGCCACACUGGAACUGAGACACGGUCCAGACUCCUACGGGAGGCAGCAGUAGGGAAUCUUCCGCAAUGGGCGAAAGCCUGACGGAGCAACGCCGCGUGAGUGAUGAAGGUCUUCGGAUCGUAAAACUCUGUUAUUAGGGAAGAACAUAUGUGUAAGUAACUGUGCACAUCUUGACGGUACCUAAUCAGAAAGCCACGGCUAACUACGCG